UGGAUACCUUCCAUACAUAUAUUUAUUUAUCAUCUUUCACCCCAUCAGCAAGUUAGUGUGAAAGAUCUUGCUUUUACUGUCUGGAGGCUGAUUUACCAUAGAGGAAACCUAUAUCAUCAAUUGCUAACUGGGGAUUAUAAGAAGAGCUGCAAACAACUAGUGGAAGAAAAAAAGAAUCAAAUACACCAUAUAGAUGCAGAUCCUAUGGAGAAACUGAACCACUAAACAUGGAAUUCAGAAAUGCAGAUUUAAGGCUCAAGCUAGAGGAAAGGAUGCAGUGAGAGGAGACAUCCCGUUGCUGCUUGUGUAGAACUGCUAGAUUAAUUAGUGUUGAAACCUGCUGUCAAUUCCUUGUUCAUUUGUUAACUAGAACAAGCCAUUUUUUAUUCAGUCUGAAAAUGAAGGUGUGGCAACCAGAAGAUUUGCAUUUUUCUUUUUAUUACCAAGAAUGAUGAUCAAAGCUUUGUAAGAAUAAACGUGUGACACUUGCAGAAAAUUUCUUCUUU
rnacentral:lncRNA from 1 species